ensembl:lncRNA
CUUCUAAUUGCAGCCACUGUAACAGUAUCUUUACGCAGUCUUUCCAUUCCAUCUUAAGAGUGUCCUCCUAGCCUCGCCUUUUUCCUAUUUAAUAUCUCCUGCACAACCUCUUCAGAAAUAACUGGUAGUUUGAAAUGAGCUGAACUUAUGCUGCAAGGGGAGAUUCUGAAGCACAGAUAUUGUGGGUGGGAUUUCCAUGCCCAGUCUGUGGAGACAGCACAUAACCUGGGACACAGAACGAAGAGUGAAGAAACAUCACCUAAAAUCCUUAGAAAAGGAAGAACCAGUGUAAAAGGAAUCGGUUCUAGAAUUUGCAUUCUCUAAACCGGUCAACAAUCAUAGAAUCACCAAGGUUGGAAACCUCCAAGAUCAAGCAGCCCAACCUUCACACUCCACCAAUGCUGCCCCGCUAAACCACCUCCCUCAGUACAACAACGUCUGCCGUUGGAGUUACAGCUCCCGGCUUCGGGGAGCCCAGCAGAAACUCUUUUGUUCCUGUCUUCCGGGCCUUGCAAUUUUAAAUCAGCAGAGAGAAGAGGAAGCAGGGAGACUCCAGCUCGUAUCUUACCUUUGCAGGAUGCAACUGAACCACUCCCUAACCUCCUGCAUCAAGCUGAAAAAGUUUGCUCCCAGGCCAAGUCUUCAGCCAGAAAAUAUUCCUGCACCUUCCCAUUCAAAAGCAAACAGCUGCUGGCUCUGUCUAAAGGAAUGCCUUCAAAUGUAAAACUGACCACUAACUGUUGCUAAUUGCCUGCUGCUGCUUCCAGACAACACAUUCCUUACCAGUCUCAGACGC